UACGGGGGGGGCAAGCGUUGUUCGGAAUUACUGGGCGUAAAGGGCUCGUAGGCGGCCAACUAAGUCAGACGUGAAAUCCCUCGGCUUAACCGGGGAACUGCGUCUGAUACUGGAUGGCUAGAGGUUGGGAGAGGGAUGCGGAAUUCCAGGUGUAGCGGUGAAAUGCGUAGAUAUCUGGAGGAACACCGGUGGCGAAGGCGGCAUCCUGGACCAAUAUUGACGCUGAGGAGCGAAAGCUAGGGGAGCAAACAGG
rnacentral:rRNA from 1 species